UACAGAGGGGGCAAGCGUUGUUCGGAAUUACUGGGCGUAAAGGGCGCGUAGGCGGCCCGCUAAGUCGAACGUGAAAUCCCCGAGCUCAACUCGGGAACUGCGUCCGAUACUGGCGGGCUUGAAUCCGGGAGAGGGAUGCGGAAUUCCAGGUGUAGCGGUGAAAUGCGUAGAUAUCUGGAGGAACACCGGUGGCGAAGGCGACGUCCUGGACCGGUAUUGACGCUGAGGCGCGAAAGCCAGGGGAGCAAACGGG
rnacentral:rRNA from 1 species